rnacentral:rRNA from 1 species
GGGGGGGGGGGGGGGGGGGGCGGGGGGGGGGGGGGCGGGGGGGGGGGGGGGGGGCUGGCUCUGGGGCGGGCAGCGGGGGGCGGGGGGGGGACACGUGGGCAACCUGCCCGCGAGGCCGGGCUAACUCCGGGAAACCGGAGCUAAUACCGGAUAACACCGAGGACCGCAGGGUCUUUGGUUGCAAGGCGGCGCACGCUGCCACUUGCGGAGGGGCCCGCGGCGCAUUGGCGAGUUGGUGAGGUAACGGCUCACCAGGGCGACGAGGCGUAGCCGGCCUGGGAGGGUGACCGGCGACACUGGGCCUGAGGCACGGCCCAGACUCCUGCGGGAGGCAGCAGUAGGGAAGCUUCCGCAAUGGGCGAAAGCCUGACGGAGCGACGCCGCGUGAGCGAAGAAGGCCUUCGGGUCGUAAAGCUCUGUUGUGAGGGACGAAGGAGCGCCGUUUGAAGAAGGCGGCGCGGUGACGGUACCUCACGAGGAAGCCCCGGCUAACUACGUG